GACGAACGCUGGCGGCGUGCUUAACACAUGCAAGUCGAACGGAAAGGCCCUGCUGUUGUGAGGUGCUCGAGUGGCGAACGGGUGAGUAACACGUGAGUAACCUGCCCUUGACUUUGGGAUAACUUCAGGAAACUGGGGCUAAUACCGGAUAGGAGCUCCUGCUGCAUGGUGGGGGUUGGAAAGUUUCGGCGGUUGGGGAUGGACUCGCGGCUUAUCAGCUUGUUGGUGGGGUAGUGGCUUACCAAGGCUUUGACGGGUAGCCGGCCUGAGAGGGUGACCGGCCACAUUGGGACUGAGAUACGGCCCGGACUCCUACGGGAGGCAGCGGUGGGGAAUAUUGCACAAUGGGCGGAAGCCUGAUGCAGCAACGCCGCGUGCGGGAUGACGGCCUUCGGGUUGUAAACCGCUUUCGCCUGUGACGAAGCGUGAGUGACGGUAAUGGGUAAAGAAGCACCGGCUAACUACGUG
rnacentral:rRNA from 1 species